rnacentral:rRNA from 1 species
UACAGAGGUGGCAAGCGUUGUUCGGAAUUACUGGGCGUAAAGGGCGCGUAGGCGGCCUUCUAAGUCAGACGUGAAAUCCCCCGGCUUAACCUGGGAACUGCGUCUGAUACUGGGGGGCUUGAGUAUGGGAGAGGGAUGUAGAAUUCCAGGUGUAGCGGUGAAAUGCGUAGAUAUCUGGAGGAACACCGGUUGCGAAGGCGGCAUCCUGGACCAACACUGACACUUAUGAACGAAAGCCAAGGGAGCAAACGGG